rnacentral:rRNA from 1 species
GACGAACCGUGCGAACGUUAUUCGGAAUCACUGGGCUUAAAGCGCGUGUAGGCGGGGUGGCACGUCGGUCGCUGAAAGCCCCCGGCUCAACCGGGGAAGGGGCGCCGAUACGACCACCCUGGAGGGACGUAGGGGGACCUGGAACUUCCGGUGGAGCGGUGAAAUGCGUUGAGAUCGGAAAGAACACCAACGGCGAAAGCACUCUGCUGGGCCGACACUGACACUGAGAGACGAGAGCUAGGGGAGCGAAUGGG